GGUAAGGAGGCUGGGGGGGGGUUAAAUAAAAAAAAUAAAAAAAACACUAGUGUGUGUGUUGAAGUCUGUUAGUGUGUGUAUGUAUGUUAGUGUUAGUGUGUGUAUGUAUGUGUGUGGAUGUCUGUUAGUGUGUGUAUGUUAGUGUGUCUGUUAGUGUGUGUAUGUUAGUGUUUGUGUCUGUUAGUGUGUAUGUUAGUGUGUGUUAGUGUGUGUAUGUUAGUGUGUGUGUGUGUUAGUGU